AUUCUAAUACGGAAGUACGGUGUCUCUACCCCUAACUUGUUAUAGCCUGCGUUUUUUAGCGGCUAUCGGGCAAAAUUAAUGGUGCUAGAGUUGCUUUCAAUAAUGUAUCAUACAUGAUAUCUCUAUACCAUUUUAAUCAAAAAAUAAAUUUUUCUUAUCAAUUGCAAAAAAUUUAUCUUUUUAAGAAAUUUUAUUAUAAUCAACACUUUAUCGCUCUUCUAAUUUUACCAAGUUAUGAAUAACGUUAUCAACGGUGAUUCGCAUUUUGAAGUUGUUGAUUUCAGUUUACCUCAGGAAAGAAAUGUGGCAAAAAUUCACCCCGUUAGUGAGCCGAAUGUCUGUUCAAAUUGUCUUCAAGAGCAAUCUCAACAAUUCAAUCCGGAUUGUCACCUCUGUUUCCAAUUACUGUUAGAGCCGUCUACAUCAAUUUCGGAGAUUUUUGCCAUUCUUAGGCAAUGGAACUCGGAGAGUCAAUCUCGAAUUCUAUUACUGACAGAAGAAAUUCUAAAGAGGGGAGCACAUAUAAAUGAUAGAGACGGUUUAACUGAUAUGACACUCCUACACUAUGCUUCUAGGUCAGGCGCGGAGGGUGUUGGAAAUGUUGAAACCUCCUGCCAAACGGUACAGUUGGUCUUGGAGAGGGGCGCCGACGUUUAUAUCCGGUGUAGGUGGACUAAUAUGGCAGCUAUACAUUAUGCGGCCUUUUUUGAUGUUGCACCAGUGCUUCAGUUAUUGCUAAAAGCUUCUGAUAGCAUCGAUAUUGAUGCUCCUUGUUCUAUAUACGAAAACGGUGGACCACUACAUAUAGCAGCAAUAAACUUAUCAAUUGAAUGCGCUCGUUUGUUAAUUGCUAUGGGAGCAGAUUGUACCCUUAAAGACGAUUUAGGUCGCAUUCCCUUCAAUUGCAUUCCUGAAACGACGUCGGAGGAUCUUAAAGAAAAGGCGGAACGUUUACGACUCCUCCUUCGAGAAGCCAUAGCCCAAAUGAAUGAUAGAAUCCCUUCUAAAGUUACACUACAAUCGCUAGGUUUAAAAAUUGGCGACAAAGUCAUUGUCGGUGGGGUAAAGUCGGGAACCCUCAGAUUCUGCGGAACUACGCAAUUCGCUCAAGGAAUUUGGGCCGGUAUUGAACUCGAUGAGCCAGUCGGAAAGAACGACGGAAGUAUCGGGGGGGUGACGUAUUUUCACUGCUCCAAAGAAUAUGGUAUUUUCGCGCCUAUAUCCAAGAUUACGAAAUACAACGACGAAGCAAGAACUAAUUCCGCUUGUUCCAAUCGUAAAUCGAGCUGUAGCAGUAAUGUGCAAAGUUCAAAAUUAGAUGUUUCGCAUGUGACGGCUAAAGUAGAUACAGGUUUAAGAGUGGCUAGGUCAUACCCUCCUACGGAUUGUUAUAAAGUCGGUGAGAGAGUGAUAGUAGCGGGAAAGAAAAGCGGCACUUUAAGGUUUUCCGGAACAACAGAAUUUGCUUCCGGUUGGUGGUACGGAAUUGAGUUAGAUCAUCCGCUCGGAAGAAAUGAUGGUAGCGUUAAUGGGAAAGCUUAUUUUGUUUGCAAGCCGAAUUUUGGGGUUUUCGCACCUUCGUCAAAAGUAAAGAGAAUUGAACAAAUAACAACGCUCAAAGAACAAAACACCGAUUUAGGAUGUGAGUGAAUUGAUUACCUAGUCCAUAUACACAGGAUACAAAUUUUAUUAUAUAUAUAAUUGACAACUAAUACCUUAAUUACACUGUUUACACUAAAAGAUUCAUUUCAAAUCAGUUAUUUAUUUAUUUUAAAAUUUUAUCUAUUUUUAGACCCUUGUAAAUUAGGUCACUUAUUUCUUUAUAGCUGCUAAUAACUCAAGUCAAAAUAUGAAUAGAGGCAGUACUAUCAAGGCCAGACCGUCCUCUUUCAAGUAAGUACGGGAAAAAUUCCCUUUUCCUUGAUAAAAAUAAAUUAACACCCCUUCGCCCCCGGGCAAGAGUAGACAUCUGAUGAUUAGCUUGCGUACGGUGCCGGAAAAGUAGGCCUACGCCCACUAGCUGUCCGCGUGCCCCAAAUUGCCGGUCAAAUUUAAAUUUUUAUUACUUCUUUAUUCUUUUGAACAGAUCGAGAAACCCUUUUGAUACAAGUGCCGGCGAGAUGAAAGUACAAGAAGGCAUGACUGUUUUAUGUAAUAACGAAUUAGGUAUAAAAAUAAACUUGUAGUUAUAUUACAAGUAAUUGAUUAUUUCAAAGAUUGACUAACUUUCGAAAAAUUCUACUCUAUAUUUUCUUCUCUUUUUGCAUAUUUAAUCAACUUAUUUAGCAACUGUAAGAUUUAUUGGAGACGUUCAUUUCGAAGAUGGACUAUGGUUAGGAGUUGAAAUGAGAAAGCUAUCUGGACGUAACGACGGAAGUAUUCAAGGUAGACGCUAUUUCACAUGCAAAUCGGGCCACGGACUUUUAGUUAGGCCUAAUAAAGUGACAGUCAGAGGAAUUAAUGCCGCCAAUUUACCGCCUUUUAAUGAACAAUCAAAUUCGAACAAAUAGACAUUUAAAUUUUUACACCUGUAGACAAUUGGGAAAUUAGCUACUGUAAUAUACAACAUAUCCGUUCAAUUCAGGUCCGUUUUUUUUGCCACCAAUUCCACGUUUGCUUAAAUAAGUAAAAAAAUCCAUGAAGAUGUUUAUUACUUUCUCUUUAUUUUUUACACUUUUUGUUUGUUUUAUAUUCGUAAUUAAUUUAUUAUUUUUUUCUAUAUUUUCUCAUAUUUUUCUCUUGUUGCCGUUUUUUCUUUCUUUCUCUUCUUUUGCAGUGUUUGUGAACGAAAAAAAUCAAACAAAAUAUUGAAACAAAAAUAUCGUUUAAUGCACUUUUCUCUCAUUUUUUAUCGUUUUUUAUAAAUUCAAUGAAUUAAAUAAUAAAGUGAAAAAGUUUAUUUAAAAAUUAGUUAAUCUCUUGAACUUUAGUUCCACCUAGACAACAGCAGAAUAAUGUUGAUGAAUUACUAUCAGUUUCCUUUUCAAUUUUACCGCCAAAACCGAGUUUAAUAUUUGAAAUUCUUCGAAUUUCACCAUUUUCCGCUUGUUUCUUUAAAUGAGGAGGUACGGAUUUAGGUCUUGAAUUAUCAUCUUCUUGGUCGUUUAAAUCUACCAAAGAUAUUGUUUUCUCUGUUAAAAUAGAUACUUUUGAUUCGGAACGAGUAGUUUUAAUAUUUUCCGUCAUAACUUCGUU
rnacentral:misc_RNA from 1 species